rnacentral:rRNA from 1 species
GGGGAAUAUUGGACAAUGGGCGAAAGCCUGAUCCAGCCAUGCCGCGUGAGUGAUGAAGGCCUUAGGGUUGUAAAGCUCUUUUAGCAGGGAAGAUAAUGACGGUACCUGCAGAAAAAGCCCCGGCUAACUUCGUGCCAGCAGCCGCGGUAAUACGAAGGGGGCUAGCGUUGCUCGGAAUUACUGGGCGUAAAGCGCACGUAGGCGGACUCUUAAGUCGGUGGUGAAAUCCUGGAGCUCAACUCCAGAACUGCCUUCGAUACUGGGAGUCUUGAGUUCGGGAGAGGUGAGUGGAACUGCGAGUGUAGAGGUGAAAUUCGUAGAUAUUCGCGAGAACACCAGUGGCGAGGCGGCUCACUGGCCCGAUACUGACGCUGAGGUGCGAAAGCGUGGGGAGCAAACA